GAGAGAGUCGCAGGAAAGCGCCAGUGUAAACACUACCUGGAAUUCUCUUUUUAGAUUGCUGGCCAGGAUGCAUUGCCAGAUAAAUGACACCCAAAGAGCAGCAAAAUACCAGGGAAAUGUUCAAGAUGUUUAUACCAGUUGGAACAGUGAACAUAUCACUGAAUAGAAGGUCUGAUGCAGCCAAAUUUUCAAGAAAAUCAGGAUCAUUCAUGCUUUCUCUCUACCAGCAGGAAUGUUCAUCUGAUAGGAUAUGAUCUCUAUUUGUCAUCUGCAAUGCAUGAUGGAAUCCUUUUGAGUCAUGUUUUAAAAAAUAUUAAUGAAAGCAAGAAGACAGCUGGAAAAAUUGCAAAGAGAAAAUGCCAAAACAAAUUGAGUAACUUUCUCCAGAAAAAUUCUGAAGCAAGGCUUCAAGUGCAAUUUAGGACAUCACACAGAGGAAAUAAGAUACAGGACAGAAGAUAAGCUCUCUUCUGGAGCUUGAAAUUGAAUUGUGAAUCAGCAAGGUACAGAAAUAUAAUGCAAAUAUUUCAGACAGGAGGUGCUGCAACUAAGUCCGUGUGAAUAUUACGUAGCUAAUUACUUUUGUGUUUUCUGUAUGAACCUAUUUUUAGGUCUUUUUUAAUAGAUUCACAAAUAAUCUUCUGGUAACAGUAUUCGUGGUUCAAAGCAUCUUCUGUUAUUAAAGUUGGGAAUCAAUUGCUGCUUACCAAACGAGUUUUGGUUUCU